rnacentral:rRNA from 1 species
AUUGAACGCUGGCGGCAGGCCUAACACAUGCAAGUCGAACGCGUGGCGCACGGGUGAGAAAUGUCUGGAACACUGCCUGAUGGAGGGGGAUAACUUCUGGAAACGGUCGCUAAUCCCGCAUACCAUCAGAUGCCCCCAUCUGGGAUUAGCUAGUUGGUGGGGUAACGGCUCACCAAGGCGACGAUCCCUAGCUGGUCUGAGAGGAUGACCAGCCACACUGUAACUGUGACACGGUCCAGACUCCUACGGGAGGUAGCAGUGGGGAAUAUUGCACAAUGGGCGCAAGCCUGAUGCAGCCAUGCCGCGUGUAUGAAGAAGGCCUUCGGGUUGUAAAGUACUUUCAGUGGGGAGGCGUUACCCGCAGAAGAAGCACCGGCUAACUCCGUGCCAGCAGCCGCGGUAAUUC